rnacentral:lncRNA from 1 species
UUUUGAGCUUGUUGCUGCUGUUGAUGGUGCAAAUGUGACUUUUGCUGCGGUAACGAUGGUGGAUGAUGUAAUGGUGGAGCUGCUGUAGGAAUUGGAGUCGGUGGUUGAACAACUGGUGUGGCUGGUUGUGUCGGCGGAGGUGGAACCGAGGGGAUAGUACUAACAGUUGUGGGUAACUGUAUGGUCUGACCAGUAAUCUUCUGCAAAAAGGAAAUAAUGGCAGCAUCCCUAGAAGAAGCAAUGGCUCGUUCUUGAGCUAUAAGUUCAUGUUCGCGGGCCAAUCUUGCCAUCUCUUGUCUUUUCCAAGCUUCUUCUCUAAUCAUCCUAUCUUGCUCUCUCUUCUCUAUGGAUUCUAAAAAAGUUUGCUGCAACGCUUCUUGUUUCUGCAUCACCUGUUUCAUUAAACCCUCAAAGAACUCCAUCAUCCUCUUCCUGCUACUACUACUACUACAACCCUCUCUUGACGACGACUGCCUUUUACGUUUACGACUACUGCCACCCAUGUCCGUCGACGGUUCCCUCCCGAUUUCAUCUUCAUCUUCAAAGCCCUGAGAAGAGGAAGAGCUAUUAGAAGAGAAGCUGAUUCCAAAUGGAGUGGCAGGAGGAGGUGGUGGAGCGGAUCCAGGCAUGGGUAACAUAGACGAGGACAUUGGGAUAGCAGUUGUAGUAGUAGUAGUAGUAGGUGGAAUCCAGACGGAAGAGAUGGGCAUAGGGAUCCCAACCGAAAUGGGAGCCACGUCGAGGCUGGCGGAGGUGGCUAGCGUGAUGGGUGGUUUUGACAGAGUGGCAGAAGUUGUAUUGAGAGCCUCUAGCUCGCUGAAAAACUUGUAACUCUUACCAUCUUGACGCCCACCUCGACUAUCUUUUGUUCGCUUGUAGUACUUGUGGACGUUCUCGAAUUU